UACGUAGGGGGCAAGCGUUGUCCGGAUUUAUUGGGCGUAAAGAGCGUGUAGGCGGCCAGGGAGGUCCGUUGUGAAAACUCGAGGCUCAACCUCGAGACGCCGAUGGAAACCAUCUGACUAGAGUCCGGAAGAGGAGAGUGGAAUUCCUGGUGUAGCGGUGAAAUGCGCAGAUAUCAGGAAGAACACCCGUGGCUAAGGCGGCUCUCUAGUACGGUACUGACGCUGAGACGCGAAAGCGUGGGGUGCGAACAGG
rnacentral:rRNA from 1 species